rnacentral:rRNA from 1 species
AUCUUCCGCAAUGGGGGCAACCCUGACGGAGCAACGCCGCGUGGGGGAUGACGCCCUUCGGGGUGUAAACCCCUUUUCUGCGGGAAGAAGGUGGGGCAACCCACGUGACGGUACCGCAGGAAGAAGGACCGGCUAACUACGUGCCAGCAGCCGCGGUAAUACGUAGGGUCCGAGCGUUGUCCGGAGUUACUGGGCGUAAAGCGCGCGCAGGCGGCGGUGCUGGCCCGGCGUGAAAGCCCCCGGCUCAACCGGGAAGGGUCGUCGGGGACCGCACCGCUUGAGGGCGGUAGGGGCUGGUGGAAUGCCUGGUGUAGUGGUGAAAUGCGUAGAGAUCAGGCGGAACACCCGUGGCGAAGGCGGCCAGCUGGGCCGUCCCUGACGCUGAGGCGCGAAGGCGUGGGGAGCGAAC